rnacentral:rRNA from 1 species
AGCGAACGCUGGCGGCAGGCCUAACACAUGCAAGUCGAACGAACCUUUCGGGGUUAGUGGCGGACGGGUGAGUAACACGUGGGAACGUGCCUUUAGGUUCGGAAUAACUCAGGUAAACUUGUGCUAAUACCGAAUGUGCCCUUCGGGGGAAAGAUUUAUCGCCUUUAGAGCGGCCCGCGUCUGAUUAGCUAGUUGGUUGAGGUAAUGGCUCACCAAGGCGACGAUCAGUAGCUGGUCUGAGAGGAUGAUCAGCCACAUUGGGACUGAGACACGGCCCAAAAUACUACGGGAGGCAGCAGUGGGGAAUAUUGCGAAAUGGGCGAAAGCCUGACGCAGCCAUGCCGCGUGAAUGAUGAAGGUCUUAGGAUUGUAAAAUUCUUUCAACGGGGACGAUAAUGACGGUACCCGGAGAAGAAGCCCCGGCUAACUUCGUG